UCCAAUUGAAGCAGAGGACAGUGGCGGACGGGUGAGUAACGCGUGAGGAACCUGCCUUUCAGAGGGGGACAACAGUUGGAAACGACUGCUAAUACCGCAUGACACAUAGGUGUCGCAUGGCACUUAUGUCAAAGAUUUAUCGCUGAAAGAUGGACCCGCGUCUGAUUAGCUAGUUGGUAAGGUAACGGCUUACCAAGGCGACGAUCAGUAGCCGGACUGAGAGGUUGAACGGCCACAUUGGGACUGAGAUACGGCCCAGACUCC
rnacentral:rRNA from 1 species